GUUAACUGGGGGCCAGGAGCUGCGGUAUGACGUAGGGGGCUAGUGUUGUCCGGAGUUAGUGGGCGUAAAGCGCGUGUAGGCGGCCAGGUAGGUCCGCUGUGAAAACUCGAGGCUCAACCGCGAGAUGUCUGCGUAAACCAUCUAGCUAGAGUCCGGAAGAGGAGAGUGGAAUUCCCGGUGUAGCGGUGAAAUGCGCAGAUAUCGGGAAGAACACCCGUGGCGAAGGCGGCUCUCUGGGACGGUACUGACGCUGAGACGCGAAAGCGUGGGGAGCGAACAGGAUUAGAUACCCGAGUAGUC
rnacentral:rRNA from 1 species